rnacentral:rRNA from 1 species
AGUGAACGCUGGCGGUAGGCCUAACACAUGCAAGUCGAACGGCAGCACAGUAAGAGCUUGCUCUUACGGGUGGCGAGUGGCGGACGGGUGAGGAAUACAUCGGAAUCUACUUUUUCGUGGGGGAUAACGUAGGGAAACUUACGCUAAUACCGCAUACGACCUACGGGUGAAAGCAGGGGAUCUUCGCACCGUGCGCGAUUGAAUGCGCCGAUGUCGGAUUGGCUAGUUGGCGGGGUAAAGGCCCACCAAGGCGACGAUCCGUGGCUGGUCUGAGAGGAUGGUCAGCCACACGGGAACGGGGACAGGGUCCAGACUCCUACGGGAGGCAGCAGUGGGGAAUAUUAGACAGUGGGCGCAAGCCUGGUCCAGCCAUACCGCGUGGGUGAAGGAGGCCUUCGGGUUGUAAAGCCCUUUUGUUGGGAAAGAAAAGCAGCAGGUUGAUACCCCGCUGUUCUGACGGUACCCAGAGAAUAAGCACCGGCUAACUUCGUG